rnacentral:other from 1 species
CAAAACCUAAAAUGACUACAUUGCUUAAACAAUAUGGUGUUUUUUAACCCGUUGUUUUUAAGUAUGAUGUUGUGUUUUAUCUAGUUUACUAGAUUUGAGUUUACUGGUUAACUUCCUGUAUUUUUUAAAACCCGUUUGGUUUACCGGCCACCCAAUCCUUGGGUGGCUUUUUUAU